GACGAACGCUGGCGGCGUGCUUAACACAUGCAAGUCGAAUGGAAAGGCCUGCUUUCCCUUGUGGAUUGCGGGUACUCGAGUGGCGAACGGGUGAGUAACACGUGAGUGAUCUGCCCCCAACUUGGGUAUAAGCCUGGGAAACUGGGUCUAAUUCCCGAUAGGACUGCAGGGUGGUGCCUGUGGUGGAAAACGAUUUUCUAGUGGUUGGGGAUGAGCUCGCGGCCUAUCAGCUUGUUGGUGGGGUAAUGGCCUACCAAGGCGGCGACGGGUAGCCGGCCUGAGAGGGUGGACGGACACAGUGGGACUGAGAUACGGCCCAGACUCCUACGGGAGGCAGCAGUGGGGAAUAUGGCACAAUGGGCGGAAGCCUGAUGCAGCGACGCCGCGUGGGGGAUGACGGCCUUCGGGUUGUAAACUCCUUUCGACCGCGAGGAAGCCACCUGGUUGGAAGGGUGGUGACGGUAGUGGUAGAAGAAGCACCGGCUAACUACGUG
rnacentral:rRNA from 1 species